rnacentral:rRNA from 1 species
CUGGAAUGGUUCCUGACUAAAAUCUAUAUGGCCUCUGGAUUGGACUGCGGCCGAUCAGGCUGUUGGUGAGGUAAUGGCCCACCAAACCUGUAACCGGUACGGGCUCUGAGAGGAGGAGCCCGGAGAUGGGCACUGAGACAAGGGCCCAGGCCCUAUGGGGCGCAGCAGGCGCGAAACCUCUGCAAUAGGCGAAAGCCUGACAGGGUUACUCUGAGUGACUUUCGCUAAGAAAGUCUUUUGGCACCUCUAAAAAUGGUGCAGAAUAAGGGGUGGGCAAGUCUGGUGUCAGCCGCCGCGGUAAUACCAGCACCCCGAGUGGUCGGGACGAUUAUUGGGCCUAAAGCGUCCGUAGCCGGUUCUGCAAGUCCCCCGUUAAAUCCAGCUGCUCAACAGAUGGGCCGCGGAGGAUACUACAGAGCUAGGAGGCAGGAGAGGCAAGCGGUACUCAGUGGGUAGGGGUAAAAUCCGUUGAUCCAUUGAAGACCACCAGUGGCGAAGGCGGCUUGCCAGAAUGCGCUCGACGGUGAGGGAUGAAAGCUGGGGGAGCAAACCGGAUUAGAUACCCGGGUAGUCCCAGCCGUAAACGAUGCAGACUCGGUGAUGGGUUGGCUUCGCGCUAACCCAGUGCCGCAGGGAAGCCGUUAAGUCUGCCGCCUGGGGAGUACGGUCGCAAGACUGAAACUUAAAGGAAUUGGCGGGGGAGCACCACAAGGGGUGAAGCCUGCGGUUCAAUUGGACUCAACGCCGGU